rnacentral:rRNA from 1 species
CCUACGGGAGGCAGCAGUGAGGAAUAUUGGUCAAUGGACGAGAGUCUGAACCAGCCAAGUAGCGUGAAGGAUGACUGCCCUAUGGGUUGUAAACUUCUUUUAUAUGGGAAUAAAAUGUUCUAUGUGUGGGAUUUUGUAUGUACCAUAUGAAUAAGGAUCGGCUAACUCCGUGCCAGCAGCCGCGGUAAUACGGAGGAUCCGAGCGUUAUCCGGAUUUAUUGGGUUUAAAGGGAGCGUAGGUGGAUUGUUAAGUCAGUUGUGAAAGUUUGCGGCUCAACCGUAAAAUUGCAGUUGAAACUGGCAGUCUUGAGUACAGUAGAGGUGGGCGGAAUUCGUGGUGUAGCGGUGAAAUGCUUAGAUAUCACGAAGAACUCCGAUUGCGAAGGCAGUUCACUGGACUGCAACUGACACUGAGGCUCGAAAGUGUGGGUAUCAAACAGGAUUAGAUACCCUUGUAGUC